ACACCAAAUCCUGGUUUAUGAAUAACCUCGGUAAACUCUUGUGUGAAUGACUCAUGAUAAGAGUAGCCUCUUAUCAUGAGUCGUUCACACAAGAGUUUACCGAGGUUAUUCAUAAACCAGGAUUUGGUGUUU